GAGUUUGAUCCUGGCUCAGGAUGAACGCUGGCGGCGUGCUUAACACAUGCAAGUCGAACGGGCCCAUAUUGAAACCUAGUGAUUUAUGAGUUAGUGGCGGACGGGUGAGUAACGCGUGGAAAACCUGCCGUAUACUGGGGGGAUAACACUUAGAAAUAGGUGCUAAUACCGCAUAAGCGCACAGCUUCGCAUGAAGUGGUGUGAAAAACUCUGGUGGUAUACGAUGGUUCCGCGUCUGAUUAGCUUGUUGGCGGGGUAAUGGCUCACCAAGGCAACGAUCAGUAGCCGGCCUGAGAGGGUGAACGGCCACAUUGGGACUGAGACACGGCCCAAACUCCUACGGGAGGCAGCAGUGGGGAAUAUUGCACAAUGGGGGAAACCCUGAUGCAGCGACGCCGCGUGAGUGAAGAAGUAUUUCGGUAUGUAAAGCUCUAUCAGCAGGGAAGAAAAUGACGGUACCUGAUUAAGAAGCCCCGGCUAACUACGUGCCAGCAGCCGCGGUAAG
rnacentral:rRNA from 1 species